GGCACGUGGAGCCCGGCGGGGAGGCGCGGGGGUCGCCCGCACCCGGGCACGACGUUUCAGAGCAGAAGAGCUGGAGCUGCCUUGCGCUUUGCCAAGCCACAGGUCCCUCCUGCCCGGGCUCCUGUGUCACAGCUGCCGCAAAGGAGAGCGAACAUGCUACAACCAGGGUUUCUGCCACUGUCCCUCUCUCGCCGGCAGCCUCCAGCAUUCAAGGUCUAGGAAGCUCUACUUGACUGGCUGUGCCCCGCGCCACCACGUGCAUAGCUACUGAUGUCCCUUUCUCCCAAGAAUUUGUCCCAAGAAUCAGGACCUACAAAAGAACCAUAGAGACUUGGACUGGCUAAUAGUGCACCACACUCUCCCAGUGAGGGUAUGGAGACACAGAGAGGGAUGAAGAACUGACCCAACCAUCCCAGGAAAACCUGCCAAGAUGAUAGAGAGACUAUUGACCGCCUCCUGUGGCUCUGCCUCCAUGCCAAGGGAGUGUGGAAAAAGGUAAGCCGACUCCUUAAAGUGAUGGCAGGAGUCAGGCUGAUGACAAGGGAGGCAGCACUGUAUGGACACCUGACUAAACAGCAGGUGUCCCAACAGCUCACUUCGACCAGUUUGUGUCCUGCGUCAGAAGUGCCCUGUGGCAAUGCAGGAACCUACUGGUGUAUGGACAUAGAGCUCAAGGAAACAGACUGCGUCAAAAUGUUUCUGAGUGAACUCCAAUCCUACUACCAGAGUGGUGGGAGAGGACAGAGAAGAAGCAGCCAAAUCCACUUGGCAAAGCAACUCUUAGCAAAGGCUAUUCAAAGACACUCGGAGAGGCUGACUGGUCGGCAAUAACGAAGACGACAGUGACACAACCGGACCUCGACACAGCAAUGAUGACAACAGUAGUGUCAGCAGUAGCAGAAGCAACUGUGAGAGUGACAGUGACAACAGCCAAGACAGGGAAUAAGCAGACAAUGUAAACCCCAACAGCGGGAUGAAAACUAAGAGACUGUGUUAUGGAAAGGACUGCGAACAGAUUGCAGAACUGCUCAAAGAGAGUCCUGCCUCCAUGGAGCAGAGAAACAUGUCGGGCCAGAGGGCUCAAGGAAAUGGUGCACAGAGGGUUUUCUCUGCCAGGAUGUUGGCGCAAAUCCCCAGUAAUGCAGUGGCUGAUAAGGGCUUCCAGCAGCCCAAGAAGAGGACAACGUUACAUCCCCACAGUGACAGAGGGCUGAUACUACCCCUCAAGACACUGGGGACAGUAAUAAUUAAUAACCCUCCUAGGAUCUGGUCCUUUCCUUGUAGGUUACUUAGUAGGCCCUGUAGGCUCCUCAGUCCACAUGCUCACCCAGUCCUCACAACAGCCACUGAGCAGAGCCUCUAAUUCAUUCACCCCUCUGAUGUAGGGCUGGUUGAUUGUUCCCAGGAUGCAGCGGAGGCUGCAGCACAGACUGUGUGGUGCCCUGCUGCCUCAGGGAAUCCUUGGCCCUGGGCUCAGGGUAGGUGCCCAGACCCCAGGCAGUGUAUGGGGAGGGUUGGGUGCCCAAGGAAGGGACUGUCGGGGAGCUGUGUAGGGAGACAGGGGGAAAAAGGGCCGAGUCUUAGGCAACUUACUUGUGCAGGUUGCCUGUCUUGGGCUAAUAGAGACCUCCCUCCAUGCAGAAGGAGCCAGCCAGAGGGAGAGACAAUUCCAGAAUAGCCAGUGGCUAGUGCUUACCAGGCAUGGAAAACCUGGGUUCAUCUCGUCCCCACCCUACCAGAUUUGGAGUUGGAGCUUGAACCCACAUCCCAGAUGAGUGCUCUAAUCACUGGGUUAUUGCUGGCUCCAGAGUGGCUCUUUCUGUUUCCCUAGAUGGAGCUGCACCGUAUUGUAUGGACCAUUACGUCUGCCUUGGGCCAGAGAGAAAAGCCAGCAGUCAGUACCCCCCAGAGACAAAGCAUGAAUCCCUCCUCCAAUGAAUAUUGAAUGAUUUAUGCAAAGAAGAACAGCUCCGCCAGGAAAACAAAGCACCACAUCCCAGACUAGCCAGUAUCCUGUUGGCCAAGCCUCUUUGAGGAUGUGAAUCUAAAGAAUUUGCCUAAGGCCAUGCAGGAAGUCUGUGGCAGAGAUAAUGGACCUCAGCUCUCCCACUUCCUAAGCCAGCCCUGAGCAGGGCACCACCCUGCUUUUUCAGGGCAGAGAGAGUCUCUCACUCACUAUGUCACUGGAUAGUACUGAGCUCAAUAGAACCCCAAUCUGGGGUUAGCGAUACAAGUCCUAAAGUUUUCAAGAUCAGGUUGUACAAACAUGUGGUUUGGAUGGCUUAAUCAGGGAUGAUCCUCCCUUGAGCAAGGGAGUCAAACUAGAUGACCUUGAGGUACCUUCCAGCCCUACAUUUCUGUGACUCAUUCAGGUGUUGGCUCAGUGUUGUUGCUGUCAGGUGUUUCUGCCCUCAGUGGUGCUGCAGAGGUUGGUGGGUCACCAGCUUCUGCUGUGAGAAUAUUAGUAGUCUCUUUUCUCCCCCCUCAGCCGCCCAGGCACAAGCAUGAGGGUUUGCAUCACUCAAGCAGCCCUGGCUGGGAAUUUCCAGCCCGUCAGCCCCCAGCGCACCAGCCAAUUGCUGAACGCUAGUCGUGUCGUGUUAUUUCCUGGUGCCUGCUGCCCCGUGACAGCCUGUGAUGGUAAAUAAUCUUGUGCCAUGGAGGAGCUGGAGAAUGACGCUGAGGGUCCAGGUCUCUGCAACCCACAGACCCUUGUGAGCAGGGAGAGUGGGGCAACAUCAAGGUUUAUUAUGCAACUUCUCUCCCCAACCACUCCCCCAUGUAUAGGCAGCCCAUAAAUAGAUCAGCUUCACUUGUUCCUCUGUGUCAGCUAAGGGGAGGGUUAUAUCCCUCCCUCUGCCUUCUAGCCAUGCAAUGGAGGGAGAGAUGGAGGUGCUAGAAUUGUCCUGGCUUUGGUUUUUCAGACAUGCUUUGCACCUUGUUCAUUCCUUUCUGUCCUGGUCUUCCACGUGUGUUUGGGACCCACUUCUUAAAGGAGAAGACAGCUGCUUCUUUGGAGCAUGGGGGCAAUCCAGACUCUGCCCCAUGUGGGCCUAAUUCUGAGUUAUCCCACCCUUGUGUGGUUGGGAGCAGUUGU